rnacentral:piRNA from 1 species
UGAAACUGAGCUGCAUAUUUGAAUUAC